rnacentral:rRNA from 1 species
UAGGGAAUAUUGCGCAAUGGACGCAAGUCUGACGCAGCAACGCCGCGUGGGUGAUGAAGCUCCUUGGAGUGUAAAACCCUGUCAGUGGGGAAGAAACGUAUGGGUAGUAACUGACUCGUACUUGACGGUACCCACAGAGGAAGUCCCGGCUAACUCCGUGCCAGCAGCCGCGGUAAUACGGGGGGGACGAGCGUUGUUCGGAUUUACUGGGCGUAAAGGGCGCGUAGGCGGACCUCUAAGUCGGGUGUGAAAACUGUUGGCUUAACUGACAGCCUGCACUCGAUACUGGAGGCCUUGAGUACGGAAGAGGAGAGUGGAAUUCCAGGUGUAGCGGUGGAAUGCGUAGAUAUCUGGAAGAACACCAGUAGCGAAGGCGGCUCUCUGGUCCGAUACUGACGCUCAAGCGCGAAGGCUUGGGGAGCAAACA